GACGAACGCUGGCGGCGUGCCUAAUACAUGCAAGUAGAACGCUGAAGGAGGAGCUUGCUUCUCUGGAUGAGUUGCGAACGGGUGAGUAACGCGUAGGUAACCUGCCUGGUAGCGGGGGAUAACUAUUGGAAACGAUAGCUAAUACCGCAUAAUAGUAGAUGUUGCAUGACAUUUACUUAAAAGGUGCAAUUGCAUCACUACCAGAUGGACCUGCGUUGUAUUAGCUAGUUGGUGGGGUAACGGCUCACCAAGGCGACGAUACAUAGCCGACCUGAGAGGGGGAUCGGCCACACUGGGACUGGGACACGGCCCAGACUCCUACGGGAGGCAGCAGUAGGGAAUCUUCGGCAAUGGACGAAAGUCUGACCGAGCAACGCCGCGUGAGUGAAGAAGGUUUUCGGAUCGUAAAGCUCUGUUGUAAGAGAAGAACGAGUGUGAGAGUGGAAAGUUCACACUGUGACGGUAUCUUACCAGAAAGGGACGGCUAACUACGUG
rnacentral:rRNA from 1 species